rnacentral:lncRNA from 1 species
AGAUACUCAGCGAAGAGUACUUCCCUAACAUGUCACCAGGAGCUGGGGAUACAGCGGUGAACCUGACAAGGCCCCCAUGCGGAGGAAACAAGAAGCAGAUCUGCAGAGAUGAAAUUCCAGGGUUGCCCGGAGAUUACAAGCCUGACUCAAACCCAGAUCUACUGGCCUCACAUCCGCUGUCUGACCUAAUGUGGAGAACAAACAUUGGCAACAGUAGAUUCUUCACCAGCUGAGCUACCAGGGAAGGCCCAAAGGAACUAUAUCUCAAUUUUGAAAAAAGAAGUCUAUGGUGUGUUUUCACCUAUCCUUUUUGGGUUUAGCACAAUGCUGAAUGCUUGG